AGGUCCUGUAUUUAGAGUGACUAGAGAACCCGUUUCAGGUCCAGGUCCUGUAUUUAGAGUGACUAUAGGACUGGUUCCAAGUCCAGGUCCUGUAUUUAGAGUGACUAUAGGACUGGUUUCAGGACCAGGUCCUGUAAUUAGAGUGACUAUAGGACUGGUUUCAGGACCAGGUCCUGUAUUUAGAGUGACUAUAGGACUGGUUCCAGGACCAGGUCCUGUAUUUAGAGUGACUAUAGGAUUAGUUCCAGGACCAGGUCCUGUAUUCAGAGUGACUAUA